UACGUAUGGUGCAAGCGUUAUCCGGAUUUACUGGGUGUAAAGGGAGCGCAGGCGGCGCGUUAAGUCUGAUGUGAAAACCCGCGGCUCAACUGCGGGACUGCAUUGGAAACUGGCGGGCUUGAGUGCCGGAGAGGCAAGCGGAAUUCCGUGUGUAGCGGUGAAAUGCGUAGAUAUACGGAGGAACACCAGUGGCGAAGGCGGCCUGCUGGACAAUAACUGACGCUGAGGCGCGAAAGCGUGGGGAGCAAACAGG
rnacentral:rRNA from 1 species